rnacentral:rRNA from 1 species
UCGUAAAACUCUGUUGUUAGAGAAGAACAAGGACGUUAGUAACUGAACGUCCCCUGACGGUAUCUAACCAGAAAGCCACGGCUAACUACGUGCCAGCAGCCGCGGUAAUACGUAGGUGGCAAGCGUUGUCCGGAUUUAUUGGGCGUAAAGCGAGCGCAGGCGGUUUCUUAAGUCUGAUGUGAAAGCCCCCGGCUCAACCGGGGAGGGUCAUUGGAAACUGGGAGACUUGAGUGCAGAAGAGGAGAGUGGAAUUCCAUGUGUAGCGGUGAAAUAC